ACUAUUUUGGCAGAAAAGUGCCAUGAAUUUAGAAUUCAUAAAUAUAGGUUAGCCCUAUAUAUAGUAC
rnacentral:tRNA from 1 species